AGUCCCGUGGUCUAGUGGCCAAGGAUCCUGGCCCUUGGAGCCAGGGGCGGCGGUUCGAAUCCGCCCGGGACUA
rnacentral:tRNA from 1 species